GGGUGAGUAACGCGUGGGUAAUCUACCUCCGAAUUGGGGAUAACACUGCGAAAGCGGUGCUAAUACCGAAUGACAUCUCAGGGACCUCGGUCUCUAAGAUCAAAGGUGGCCUCUACAUGUAAGCUACUGUUUGGAGAUGAGCCCGCGUACCAUUAGCUAGUUGGUAGGGUAAUGGCCUACCAAGGCUGCGAUGGUUAGCUGGUCUGAGAGGAUGAUCAGCCACACUGGAACUGACACACGGUCCAGACUCC
rnacentral:rRNA from 1 species